UCGUAACAAGGUCUCCGUUGGUGAACCAGCGGAGGGAUCAUUACCGAGUUUACAACUCCCAAACCCCUGUGAACAUACCAAUUGUUGCCUCGGCGGAUCAGCCCGCUCCCGGUAAAACGGGACGGCCCGCCAGAGGACCCCUAAACUCUGUUUCUAUAUGUAACUUCUGAGUAAAACCAUAAAUAAAUCAAAACUUUCAACAACGGAUCUCUUGGUUCUGGCAUCGAUGAAGAACGCAGCAAAAUGCGAUAAGUAAUGUGAAUUGCAGAAUUCAGUGAAUCAUCGAAUCUUUGAACGCACAUUGCGCCCGCCAGUAUUCUGGCGGGCAUGCCUGUUCGAGCGUCAUUUCAACCCUCAAGCCCAGCUUGGUGUUGGGACUCGCGAGUUAAAUCGCGUUCCCCAAAUUGAUUGGCGGUCACGUCGAGCUUCCAUAGCGUAGUAGUAAAACCCUCGUUACUGGUAAUCGUCGCGGCCACGCCGUUAAACCCCAACUUCUGAAUGUUGACCUCGGAUCAGGUAGGAAUACCCGCUGAACUUAAGCAUAUCAA
rnacentral:rRNA from 1 species